rnacentral:rRNA from 1 species
GACGAACGCUGGCGGCGUGCUUAACACAUGCAAGUCGAACGAUGAACCCGGAGCUUGCUCUGGGGGAUUAGUGGCGAACGGGUGAGUAACACGUGAGUAACCUGCCCUGGACUCUGGGAUAAGCGUUGGAAACGACGUCUAAUACCGGAUAGGACCUUGGGUCGCAUGAUCUGGGGUGGAAAGUUUUUUCGGUCUGGGAUGGACUCGCGGCCUAUCAGCUUGUUGGUGAGGUAAUGGCUCACCAAGGCGUCGACGGGUAGCCGGCCUGAGAGGGUGACCGGCCACACUGGGAGUGAGACACGGCCCAGACUCCUACGGGAGGCAGCAGUGGGGAAUAGUGCACAAUGGGCGAAAGCCUGAUGCAGCAACGCCGCGUGCGGGAUGACGGCCUUCGGGUUGUAAACCGCUUUUAGUAGGGAAGAAGGGCUUCGGCUUGACGGUACCUGCAGAAAAAGGACCGGCUAACUACGUG